GCUCCCUUGGCUCAGUGGUUAGAGCUUUGUACUUAUGUGGUUACCGCGAUACAAAGGUCCCGAGUUCAAACCUCGGAGGGAGCA